rnacentral:snoRNA from 1 species
AAACCAUGGUGUGGGGAUUGAGCUUGGUAGCCCUUGAAUCUCUCUCAGGCUUCACUGAAGCCUUCCAAGUUCUUCUGUUGAAAGCUGGAAAUCUCAUUUCUCAGCUU